UACGAAGGGAGCUAGCGUUGUUCGGAAUCACUGGGCGUAAAGCGCACGUAGGCGGAUGUGUCAGUCAGGGGUGAAAUCCCGGAGCUCAACUUCGGAACUGCCCUUGAUACAGCACGUCUUGAGUCCGGAAGAGGUGGGUGGAAUUCCUAGUGUAGAGGUGAAAUUCGUAGAUAUGGGGAGGAACACCGGUGGCGAAGGCGGCCAUCUGGACGGAUACUGACGCUGAGACGCGAAAGCGUGGGUAGCAAACAGG
rnacentral:rRNA from 1 species